GACGAACGCUGGCGGCGUGCUUAACACAUGCAAGUCGAACGGAAAGGCCCGGCUUUUGUUGGUUUCUCGAUUGGCGAACGGGUGAGUAACACGUGAGUAACCUGCCCUUGUCUUUGGGAUAACUUCAGGAAACUGGGGCUAAUACCGGGUAGGAUCUCCUGCUGCAUGGGGUGGGUUGGAAAGAGUCGGCGGUUGUGGAUGGUCUCGCUGCUUAUCAGCUGGUUGGUGGGGUAGGGGCUUUCCAGGGCUUUGGCGGGUAGCCGGCCUGGGAGGGUGACCGGCCACCUUGGGACUGAGGUACGGCCCAGACUGCUACGGGAGGCAGCAGUGGGGAAUAUUGCACAAUGGGCGGAAGCGUGAUGCAGCAACGCUGCGUGCGGGAUGACGGCCUUCGGGUUGUAAACCGCUUUCGCAUGUGACGAAGCGUGAGUGACGGUAAUGGGUAAAGAAGCACCGGCUAACUACGUG
rnacentral:rRNA from 1 species